rnacentral:rRNA from 1 species
GACGAACGCUGGCGGCGUGCUUAACACAUGCAAGUCGAACGGAAAGGCCCUGCUUUUGUGGGGUGCUCGAGUGGCGAACGGGUGAGUAACACGUGAGUAACCUGCCCUUGACUUUGGGAUAACUUCAGGAAACUGGGGCUAAUACCGGAUAGGAGCUCCUGCUGCAUGGUGGGGGUUGGAAAGUUUCGGCGGUUGGGGAUGGACUCGCGGCUUAUCAGCUUGUUGGUGGGGUAGUGGCUUACCAAGGCUUUGACGGGUAGCCGGCCUGAGAGGGUGACCGGCCACAUUGGGCCUGAGAUACGGCCCAGACUCCUACGGGAGGCAGCAGUGGGGAAUAUUGCACAAUGGGCGGAAGCCUGAUGCAGCAACGCCGCGUGCGGGAUGACGGCCUUCGGGUUGUAAACCGCUUUCGCCUGCGACGAAGCGUGAGUGACGGUAAUGGGUAAAGAAGCACCGGCUAACUACGUG